rnacentral:rRNA from 1 species
CGCGAACUGCGUAUGCUCGAGUUAUCAAUUAUCGUUUAUACCUUACUACUUGGAUAACCGUGGUAAUUCUAGAGCUAAUACAUGCUAAAAAUCCCGACUUCGGAAGGGAUGUAUUUAUUAGAUUAAAAACCAAUGCCCUUCGGGGCUCACUGGUGAUUCAUGAUAACUCCUCGAAUCGCAUGGCCUUGUGCCGGCGAUGGUUCAUUCAAAUUUCUUCCCUAUCAACUUUCGAUGUUUGGGUAUUGGCCAAACAUGGUUGCAACGGGUAACGGGGAAUAGGAG